UGAAAAGAGUCUAAACCAUGUUUGACCAUAUUCGGCCCAUGAAGCUCAGAAAAAAGCUGGAAAAAUAAAUUGACUGUGACAAUGAAAUCUUUCAAAAAGCAAUAAUUCUGCAUGAUUAGACAAUUACCAGGGUGUCCCCAUUCCCCAUCUGCAUAUUUAAGUCUGAUGGGAAGCAUUCCCUUUAGAAUACAUCAGAUAGUGAGCAACUGAGCAUAGAUUGCAUAACAUAAACCAGAGGUAAAACACUUUCUCAGUCUCUCAUGAUUGCGCCCCAAAAAACAUAUAUUGGUCAUAUUGUAUCAUGAACCAAUUUGGAUUGAUCAUACAUUAAUUAUUUUUGCGGAAGUUAAAGGUUGACUUUGUGUGGAAGAAGGUGAAGCCAUCCAUGUGCUCCUAGCUUAAAUAUGGAUGUAACCCAUAAUUUAGCACUACAUAAAAAGGAACAAAAAUGUUAAAGAAAAUAUGAGGGUAGAUCAUAGGUUAAACCAACAAUAGACUAGAACAUGAUCCAGAAGCUUCAGACGUGAAGACAUCAAACAACCAAUACACAUCAGAGCAUCACGUUAAAUAAAAUUAAUUGCAGAUCGAACACCAUGCAUUAUCAGAGUGAAGGAAUAAAUCUUCAGAAGAUAACAAUAAACAAAAAGAUAUGGAGGACCUUUAUAGUCCAAUAUUUUUUUGAAGAAAACUAAUAUACGUUCACAAAUCUUCAAAACCGUUUACAAAGAACAGGAGGAAACAACUGAAUUUAAGAAAAUGGUUUUUGACAAGUUACCACAAGUCAUCUUGCAUCACUACAUUUUUUGUUACAAUGGAACUCGCAGCCACUACUCUAUGGGUGUGCCAACCACUCAACGGGUAAUCUCAAAGUAUACUAUAUGGUGGCCUUUUGCGUAUGCCAUGAAAAGCACUUUUUACUAGGCUCACGACCGAUUCAACUAACCCUUGGGGGGGGGGGGGUAACAUGCAUCACUUAACGUCAAAAUACCAAUCAGCUAAUCAAAAUGAACUGCAACAAAAAUGGUCAAGUUUUAAAAAAGAUGAGCCACUUAUGCGAAGAUAUUAGCAUAAUUAACUUGAGACAACUCCAGGCAUCCUCUUUUCUUUUUGUAAUUUUUCUUUUAUAUUUGAGUUAAAUUAGGCUAUUAGUCAGUCUAACAAACAUACUUCUUAGUUUUUUACACUGAUGAUAGAAGCAAAAACUCGGGUUCAAAAAAAACUUAAAGUAACUAGAUAACCUUUUCUUGAAUUUUGAUGGGGUAAUUCACAGUAAACUCAUGUAGCUUGAAGUUGUAGGUUCAACAGUAGUUUGCAAAAAGAAGAAAGUUCGGUACAAAACGACAUUGAUAUUGAUCAACAAUAAGUUCCCUAAUGCUACGUUUGGAUUGAAUGAAUGGAAUGAUUCAUUCCAUUCCAGUUGGAAUGAGUUAUUCCAUACUCUCCCUCCCCCAAAGAAAAAAUUCAUAAAUUAGGGAGGAAUAAGAAUGGUUCAAUUCAUUCCAAUCGCAACCAAACACAAUUUUUUUCAUUCCAUAAGAAUGAAUUAUUCCAUUACUACCUUCAUUACUCUAAUCCAAAUGUAGCAUAAGACUUAUACCAUGACAGUGAAUCAAAAAUUGAAAUUUCAAAACUGUACAAGUUAACUGGGAAAUACAUACAACAUGAAAAAGAUAGAAGGUACAAUGAGUACGCAUACAGAGAAAAGAAAGUGGGGAAAACAAGCAAAAUAAUAAAGAAUGCUGGUUUACAGUCACUUCAAGCAUGCAUGAACAAAUCCCUUACAAAUCUUCAGAUGCUAAAACAGUUUUCAAGUAUAUAAUAUAAUGAAUCCAUUUUGAGCACAAAGGAUAGUACAUGAGAAGUCUGGUGUUCCAACAGUCCCUCGAGAGGACUGUUGAUAGAUGAAAAUCAUUAUGCAGAUGCACAUCUACGUACCUUGUUGAUGCCAGUUCUUUUAUCCUUGUGAAGAACAACCUCAACAUUAUUUUCAUGUCCUCCAAACAAGGAGUGAAUUUGACAUCAAAGAAGGAAUUAUUAAUACUAGUACAGAAAUAUAAAGUUCACAAGCACAGGUAACAGUGAGAAUAUUGAGGGCCAAAUUUUAAAUGCAUGUAACAUCAUUAUAUUAUCAUCUUUAUUUAAUUUAUAUAUCCUUCAUAAAUCACAUGAUUAUAUUUAUAACAAGCAAUGAUUAGAGAAGAUGCGAUGAUAAACUUGUGUGCAGUUUGCACAUGCUAGAUAUAGUGGAUGAAAGUUGUAGGAAAAACUACGCUGAUUAAUUAAGAAGAAAAUCAUAUAAUGCUGUUAUUAUCAGACAAACCGGUUAAUUUAUCACAUUGAAGGCAUUGAGAUACUACUAACAUCUUUCCCAUCCAAUUUAAAAGUUUCAACUCGGCAACAUUAUUGAGAUUCAGAUGAAAAACCUUGAAUGAAAAUUCCAAGUUAAUAACAAAUGGAGUAUCUAACAACGAAAUUGAAGUUAGAAUUAUGGUUAGUAUCUUUUGCCUUGUAAAAGUUAAUCAAAUUUAGAGCAAAGGCUACUAUCAUAUACCCUGUCCUUUCCAAAAUGAGGUUCUCAUCCCACUAUUAGAAAAUCAUAUACAUUUUUUUAAGUACUAAUUUAACAACUUAC
rnacentral:lncRNA from 1 species